rnacentral:rRNA from 1 species
CUGGAAUAUCGAGGUCCAGCCUGCCCAGUGACUUAGUUAAACGGCCGCGGUACCCUGACCGUGCGAAGGUAGCAUAAUCACUUGUUCUUUAAAUAAGGACUAGUAUCAACGGCAUCACGAGGGUUACACUGUCUCCUCCCUCCAAUCAGUGAAACUGAUCUCCCCGUGAAGAAGCGGGGAUAAAAAUAUAAGACGAGAAGACCCCAUGGAGCUUUAAACCCAACAACAACCUCUAUGCACAAUUCCCUAAUAAAUGCAAAGGUACUGUCUGUUGGUUUUAGGUUGGGGUGACCGCGGAGUAAAACUUAACCUCCACGAUGAACGGGAUUAACCCCUAAUCCAAGAGCCACCGCUCUAAGAAUCAAUAAAUUGACGUGAAAUGAUCCGACAAUCGAUCAACGAACCAAGUUACCCUGGGGAUAACAGCGCAAUCCAUUUCAAGAGCUCCUAUCGACAAAUGGGUUUACGACCUCGAUGUUGGAUCAGGGUAUCCCAGUGGUGCAGCCGCUACUAAAGGUUUGUUUGUUCAACAAUUAAAACCCUACGUGAUCUGAGUUAAACCCGGAGAAG